rnacentral:rRNA from 1 species
AUGGGCAGGCAACACCCCGUCCACCCCUGCAACCUAAAUAGGAGGGACACCACCUCAGCUUCUCUUCAUCGGCAAGCUUGGUUGAGGCCAAGCUGCAUCGCCUCGUCCAGGGAAGAUACGCCUGUGACUCGUGACAAGAGGGGGCCCGUGGCCGCCGUCUGCCGAGCGGGCUUUGCUCGGCGGCUUCACCCGACGACAACGGUGGGAGCAUGGUGGUGGUGGGGAUGCUGGGAGCGGCAGAGUUCACCCAUGCCACCCUCCUUGGAGCAACUUGGGCGCAGUAAGCACACAGGGAGGAGUAGUGACACAAUGAGGUGA